AUUCUUUGAUUCUCUCUUAUUUCAUGUAUCUGUGUUCCUCUCUGAGUUGCAUCAACUGGCUGAUACUACUCUAUUUCUUAUUACAGAACUGCUGAAUAUCAGGGAUCAGUAUCAAAGUCCCUUUGACCUUGAAAGAUCAUCUCGUCCAAUUCCCCUGCUGGAGCAGGAAAGCAUUAACAGUCUUGAUAUGCAGACUGUGGGAAAACAAGACCUUGAUGUCAACUGCUGUUGAUUUCAUGGGAAUUGCUCAGCCUCCUGCUGCUUAAAUUCAAUGGAAGACAACAUGGUCUAUCUGUAUGAGAGUACAAGAAAGAUUGUACAUAUCCAAAAUUAGUGUCCUGGUCAGAAGACUGUCCCUGACAGUGGUCUACAGGAAACUAUAACAGAUACAAAAAGCACAAUAACACUCUUUGAUAGAGCAAAUUCUCAGCUACAAAACACUAUUUUUCAAUAUAGCAGUCAUAUGUACUUUCACCUGUGAUGAACAAGAGUCUGCAUGCCAUGCUCAUAAAACUCUGCACCAGAAGAGGUGACCCACUGUUUCACAGCUGCUAUGAUUACAUGAUUGCAAGGGAAAUAUUACCAGUACAGUCCAUCUUUCAUUGGCUGGAACAGAUGAAAGUCAGAAGGCACCAAAUCUGGACUAUAUAGGGGCUACGGUAGGGCAGUCUUCGGACUGGUAUGUGGACUAGCAUUAUUGUGUUGCAGAAGAAGGGUUAUUAUAUCCUUCUCUGAGCUGACUUCAAAAAUUUUAGCUUAGUCAGUGUUGUGAUUUAGCAGGCACGGCUGAUGGUUUAUUCAGAUUCCAGGAAAUCGAGAAGGAUCACCACUUCCCUAUCAAGACCAUGCACAUCACUUUAUCUGCUGAGGGCUGCGUCUUCAACUUUUUAUUUAUUGGGGAAUUCAUGUCACCACUCCACGAACUGCUGUUUUGACUCCAGCGAUGACACCACAUCCCACCACCAGCAAUGAUGCAAUCUGGGAAACUCUCACCUUCAGCCUCAUAUUGGUUCAAUAAGUCCUGAAAAACAGGCAUAUGAUGUUCUUUUUUGUUCCUGUGUGAGCUUUCAUGGGACCCAUCUGGUGCAAAUCUUAUGAUAUUCCAACACCGUGACCAUCAUUUCCUAUGCAGUGAAGCUGAUAUUCAGCUCUGUACACAUGGAUCAUAAUCCACCAUUCACAUGGAAGAGCUGAUUGAAAUGCUCUUUAUUUCACAGUGUGAGAGCUGUAAAUGGCUCUUUGGACUAUGGCUUAUCUUUCACUCUGUCACCACUGCUGAAACACACCACCGAUUAUCUCACUGUGCUCACAUCCAUUGUAUGGUAUCUUUAAAUGCUCAGCAAGCUUCAAUGUCCGUCACUGGGUGCCAUUUUUUCCAUAUGCAGGAAUUCAAUCACAUAUUUUUGCUUCAUAUGCACUUCUGCGUCAAACACCAUUCUGUCAGACUGCCCCUCUGCUGCCAUCUGUGAACAAAAUAAAAUGGGAUAUCGAUGGGAAGAUUCAACCUCUUCUGCCAUAUCAUCAACAUUUGCUUCUGAUGUUGUAGACCAACAAAACAAAAUAGGAGGUAUUACUUCUGGCGCAACCAUUAUAGAUAUAAGAAGCAGGACUGUUUUCCAUUAGAAUCCAUUUUCCCUAAUAAGUAAACAAAUAUACACAUAUCCUCCCUAACAAAAACAAAAACAACAACAAAAAAAAAAAAAAAAAAAAAAGGUGAAAAGCUGCAGUGAAUGUUCCACAGCUGCUGCAAAGAAGUUUCAGUAUCAGCUCCAUAUAAAAUAGAAAGUCUCUCCUGGUAGCUGUUAGAUCUCCCUUGCUUCACUUUGAUCUUAGUGCCUGGACAUAAGUAUAUACUUUCAUUUUGAAUGGAUUUGAUCAUAUCCAUUUUUAUUUUAAGAAAAUAUUUUUAAAACUGUGUAAUCAGAGC
ensembl:lncRNA